AAGAGAAGCGACCACGCGAGUGUGAGCGAAUCUCAAAAAUAACGUCUCAGUUCGGAUUGUAGUCUGCAACUCGACUACAUGAAGCUGGAAUCGCUAGUAAUCGCGGAUCAGAAUGCCGCGGCGAAUACGUUCCCGGGUCUUGUACACACCGCCCGUCACACCAUGGGAGUCAGUAACGCCCGAAGCCGGUGACCCAACCUAACAAGGAGGGAGCCGUCGAAGGCGGGACGGAUGACUGGGGUGAAGUCGUAACAAGGUAAC
rnacentral:rRNA from 1 species